ensembl:lncRNA
CAUUUACUGCACGAUAUUUAUUUUUGGGUAACAGCAGAUCAUCUGCCUCCACCUCCUCCUAUCCCAGCAUCCGACCCUCUGCAUGUCCUCCUCCUCUACAUCCACGAACCUCCUCUGAGCUCUUCUUCUCCUCCUGCCUGGCAGCUCCAUCUUCAUCCUCCUUUGUCCAACAUUUCCACCCUCCCUCCUCUGCACGUCCAAACCCUCUCAGCCUCUCCUCUCUGAGCUCUCCCUCUGAUGGACUCAUUUCUGAUCCAUGUGGCUCACUCCCAGUGAACAUCUUCAGCUCAGCUCCACCAUCUCUCAACCAUCACAGCAGCUCUCACUACCAUUUUGUAAUCCUUCCUUUUCACUCUGGCUGCCAUCCUUGUGUCGCAAUUCCCCCCGGAUACUUGUCUCCAUGCACCCUGCCUGCACGCUCAUCUUCACCUCUCUGUGACUGUCCAUGGCUCUGGAUGAUCUGGAUGAUGACCUUCACUUCGUUGCUCCUUGCAUCUCCACCGGUUUCAUUCAUACACUACAGCGUCGUCUGCAAACAUCAUCAUCCACAGAGACUUCGUCUGUCAGUCCUUUUUUUAUUUCUAUUGGCCAAAAUCAUUUUUUAUUAUUGUUUCAGUUCAGUUUAAUAAAUUGUUUUCAUAUUUGCAUAAUUUCUUUUAAAGGAAUAUUUUUUUUCUUCACAUUAACUUUAUUUUCUUGUUGUUGUUUUUGAUAAAAUCUUACAAUUAUUAGCAUAGUGUCAGCUAUUACAGGAUGGGUCUGUCUGUUUAGGUGGUAGAAAGGAUCGUAUAUUUCUAUUCAUGAGUGCAAAAAGAACCAAGAAUCUAAAGGUUGGCCAGUUUCUAAUAAUGAGCUCGGUUAUGAACGGAGCCAAAAGCUCCGACUGCUCGAAACUCCGACCACGAGUGCCGUCAGUCAAAGCAGGUCCCAUUACUACGGUCACUCAGAAGCUCCACCCACCUGCUAUUCAAAUCUUCUGCUUAUAAGGCCCAGCCAAUCAGAAGACAGUUUUAAACAGUUCGUUUCAGACAAUGACCUGAGAAGGCCCCACGAGGCCCCACGAGGCCACACAGGGCCACACGAGGCCCCACGAGGCCCCACGAGGCCACAC